ensembl:lncRNA
ACAGAGUCAAUGUGGAGACUAUAUACAGGGGGUACUGGUACAGAGUCAAUGUGGAGGCUAUAUACAGGGGGUACUGGUACAGAGUCAAUGUGGAGGCUAUAUACAGGGGGUACUGGUACAGAGUCAAUGCGGAGGCUAUAUACAGGGGUACUGGUACAGAGUCAAUGUGGAGGCUAUAUACAGGGGGUACUGGUACAGAGUCAAUGUGGAGGCUAUAUACAGGGGGUACCGGUACAGAGUCAAUGUGGAGGCUAUAUACAGGGGGCACCGGUACAGAGUCAAUGUGGAGGCUAUAUACAGGGGGUACCGGUACAGAGUCAAUGUGGAGGCUAUAUACAGGG